AUUAUAAGACAGUCCUAUUGAAUAACCUAUCUUCAACUUUUGGUGGUUCUCGUUAAUUAAUAGCUUGUAAGCACAAGAAUGGGCACUCUACCUUUUAUGCUUUUUUCUCUCAAGUUCCUAUUGUUUUCCAUCCAAAUUUCCUCUGAAACUGAUAUCAUAACUCAGUUUCAUUCUCUUCAUGAUGGAAGCACAUUGACCAAUGGAGCAUUUGAGUUGGGUUUCUUCAGUCCAGGUAGUUCUACAAACCGCUACGUAGGAAUUUGGUUCAAAAAUGUCCCUAUAAAAACGGUUGUCUGGGUUGCCAAUCGUAACCAUCCAAUUCAGGACAAAUCCGGAACAUUGAGUAUAAGCAAGGAAGGAAACAUUGUCCUUCAAAGCAAAAAUGGCACAAAUCAUUGGUCAACAAACAUAACAACCAAAGUCUCAACCUCAAACUUGGUAGCAGGGCUCUUAGGAUCCGGCAACUUCGUAUUAACCGACGAGAAAGACAACCGUGACAGUGGAUUUUACUUGUGGCAGAGCUUUGACUAUCCUACUGAUACAAUCCUUCCAGGAAUGAAGUUUGGUUGGAAUCUAACAAGCCGCUUUAAUAGGCGCCUAACAGCAUGGAACAAUUGGGACGACCCUUCUUCAGGUCAAAUUACUUAUGGCUUCAUAAAAAGUGACUUGCCUGAAUCGAAAAUCCAAAAUGGUUCAUCAGUGAUAUACAGAAGUGGACCUUUUAAUGGCCUUCGUUUUGGUGCUACACAAAAACUGAAACAUGUUCCAUUAUUCAUCGUUGAUUUUGUGUACAAAACUGAUGAGUAUUAUUUUCAUUAUCAACCCAAAGAUCCUUCACUACUCUCAAGAAUUGUUAUCAACCAAACUGUUUCGGCGCUGCAGCGCUUUAUUUGGGUUGAAGAGAAUCAAAAAUGGAUAUUGUAUUUGAAUGUUCCGAGAGAUGAAUGUGAUAAUUACAACCGAUGUAGUUCCUUUGGGAUUUGUGCGAUGAUUGGUAAGUCCUCAAUGUGUGAGUGCUUAAGCGGGUUCACUCCCAAAUCACCUCAAAAUUGGAGUGUAAAGGACUGGAGUCAAGGAUGCAUGCGUAAUGAAAAUUGGAGAUGCAGAGAGAAAAAUAAAGAUGGGUUCAUCAAAUUUCAAAAUGUAAAGGUCCCGGACACUAAGAAAUCUUGGAUAAGUAAAAGUAUGACACUUGAGACAUGUAAGGUCAAAUGUUGGGAGAAUUGUUCUUGUACAGCUUAUGCCAACUCCAACAUUACAGGAAAUGGAAGUGGUUGCAUCAUUUGGUUCAGUGAUCUUUUGGACAUGAGACAAUUGCCUGAUUCUGGACAAGAUUUAUAUGUUAGAUCCUCUGCCAUAGAAACAACAAACCGAGAUGAUUCAAGAAAAAGGAUGGUUGUUGUCACAAGUACCACUUGCUCAAUUAUUGUGAUACUUUUUCUAUUCAUCAUCGUUUUUUGUUGGAGGAGAAAAGCUAAAUCUAAAUUUAGAGAAACAAAAUUAAAGGAAAGCAAAAGUGAACAAGAAGACCUGGAACUACCUUUCUUUGACUUUGGUGCAAUAAAAUUUGCCACUAAUGACUUCUCAAAUAACAACAAACUAGGAGAAGGUGGUUUUGGUCCAGUAUAUAAGGGCAUGCUAUCAGAUGGACACGAAAUUGCAGUUAAAAGGCUUUCACAUAGCUCUGCACAAGGAAUAGAAGAAUUUAAGAAUGAGGUUUUAUUUUGUUCCAAACUUCAACAUCGAAACCUAGUUAAGGUCCUUGGUUUUUGCAUUGAAGAACAAGAGAAAUUACUCAUCUAUGAAUAUAUGCUCAAUAAAAGCUUAGACUUAUUUCUUUUUGAUUCCUCUCGAAGUAAAUUUUUAGAUUGGUCUCAACGGUUUGCCAUUAUAUGUGGUAUUUCUAGAGGACUUAUUUACCUUCACCAGGACUCUAGAUUACGAGUCAUACAUAGAGAUUUAAAAGCAAGUAAUAUUUUAUUAGAUGCUGAUAUGAGUCCCAAAAUAGCUGAUUUUGGCCUUGCUCGAAUGUGUGGAGAUGAUCAGAUUCAAGGAAACACAAGUAGAGUUGUUGGUACAUAUGGUUAUAUGGCGCCCGAAUAUGCAAUUGAUGGAAUAUUCUCCAUCAAAUCUGAUGUAUAUAGCUUUGGAAUUUUAUUGCUAGAGAUUAUAAGUGGAAAGAAAAAUAAAGGACUUUCCCAUUCAAAUCGCAACUACAAUCUUAUUUCUCAGAAAGUGUUACGUGAAAGAGCAGAAGCAUCGUGAAAGUGGAAAAAGGGAAAAGGGGAAGAGCAAGAGCAGAGGUUGAAGAACGGAAAGGAUUGAAGCUCAAAGAUUUGCCGAAUUAUCUCAGAUAAAGCGGAGUAGCUAUUGUUGAGGUUUGAAGAAUAAGGGUAGAGUUAUUCUACAGAGUCGAGUCAAAUGCUCUGGUCAUGUGACACCGGGGAUUAUGGGAUUCGAUAGAUAAAUUAUAUUAUUAUUUACAUUGUUUAUGAUGACGAUUAUGUUGAGAUGAUGUUGAACAGUAUUACGAACGGUUAUAUGGCGAACGUUAAUAUUUUGUUGU